GACGAACGCUGGCGGCGUGCCUAAUACAUGCAAGUCGAACGCAGUGGGGACGGGUGAGGAACAAGUGGGUAACCUCCCAGCAGAGGGGAUAACACUUGGAAACAGGUGCUAAACCGAUACGGAGGGAUGGACCCGCGGUGCAUUAGGCAGUUGGUGAUGUAACGGCUCACCAAGGCCACGAUGCAUAGCCGACCUGAGAGGGGGAUCGGCCACACUGGGACUGAGACACGGCCCAGACUCCUACGUGAGGCAGCAGUAGGGAAUCUUCGGCAAUGGACGAAAGUCUGACCGAGCAACGCCGCGUGAGUGAAGAAGGUUUUCGGAUCGUAAAACUCUGUUGUUAAAGAAGCGGUAUCUAACCAGAAAGCCCCGGCUAACUACGUGCCAGCCGCCGCGGUAAUUC
rnacentral:rRNA from 1 species